ensembl:lncRNA
GGCCCCCCGCCCCGGCCGGGCCUCCGCGCCCCGAGCUCGGGGCGGCCCCCGCGCGCUCCGCCUCGGGAGUGGGGGCGCCGGGUCCCGCGGGAGCCCCCAGGGAGUUCCGGCGCCCCGGAGUUCGGGGGGACUCCCGCUCCUCGUGCAGCCUCCACCACCCCCCUCCCAGGGCGCCCCGCUGGACGCCCUGCGUGCCCCGAGCGCCGCUGGCCCCCGGAGUUGGGGGACCCCCUCUGGCACCCUCAGAAGCUGCGCAGGCCUGAGUUCCUUCCCCGGACUUGGGGGUCCCCCAUCCUGGGGCCUCUCCGGGGACCCCCACCAGCAUCGGAGUUCGUGGAGAUCCCUGGGGAACCUUGUCGCUGAACUGUGCCAGGAACUCCUGGAGCCUCCAUCUCAGCCACAGACUGGAAAUCACCACGAGAUCUCUCUUGUCAGACUGGGAAACUGAGGCACAAGUGAGCAAGGUCUCCUGCUUGCCUCAAUCCCACCUCCAGAGCCCCAGAAGCCCUCUCCCCGACCGGGUGCGGAGUCUCAGGGGCCGCAGGGGGCCCAUCUGAUAAUCCAGCCACCCCUUCAGGUGCCCGCUGUGCCAAUUUGUACGCCCAGCAUGGGGGCCACACCGCUGCUCCCUCCCCUGGACUGUGGCGGCUGGCACAGUGGGCACAGAGGCGUGGCAUGGCCCAGCAGCCGGGGCCCUCCCUGCCGUGGACCCUCGCUGGGGCUCAGCUUCUAAGCCUGUACAGGGAGGGAGAAAGGGCAGCCUGGGGGCCUGCUCCCCAACCCUCCCCUGCCUGGUCAGCUCCUCUCGGAGGCCCCCUUGUCCCACCUCACACGACAGGGACCCAGGGGACCACCACAGGAGAUCUGAGGGCUCCUGACGCUAGCCUGAGGCAGUGAUGGUGGGGGAGGGGGAGCUGACCUCCAUCCUGCCAGAUGAGGCUGGGUCUGGGAGGGGGUGGCUCCCCAAGGAAGGGGCACAGGCUGUGUGACGGGUGGGCCCUCCAGGGCAAAGGCUGGGAAGCAGGGCUGGCGGGCAGACGUAUCAGGGGUGGGGGAACCUGGUGGGGUGACCAAGAGGUUGGAGGGGGCACUUGCCAAAUUCUGGAGGCUCUGGAGGGAGGAUCCUGGACUUGCUAGGGUUACAUGGGAUUGAAGGAGUUGAGGCUGGGGGUCCAAACCAGAGCGCCUCUGAGGUGGGCUGGGAUGUCCUUCUUGGGACACUGAGGCUAGGAGAGGGGUCAGAACUAGCCCCAGAGGGGCCUAGAGCAUCCAGCCUGUGUUCCCGCACCACCCUGUAUCUUCUUGGCAGGCAGAUCUGCAGAAGGAAAGCUAAGGGGGCUGCAUGAGGGGGGCAGCACGGGGAGCUGCCUGGAGGAGGGGGCAUGAAGUCAAGCCAUAACGUUUUUCUGGAGAGGGACUUCACGGUGGGGGAAACGGCUUGUGCCAGCCCUGCUUGCCACAGAAGAGCCUCGGUGUCCGGCCUGCGGAAGGGAGAGGGGGUCCCAGUCGCGCGGCACCUGCUCGGUGGCCUGUGGUUACCCAGAAUGCCU